rnacentral:rRNA from 1 species
UACGUAUGGAGCAAGCGUUAUCCGGAUUUACUGGGUGUAAAGGGAGCGUAGACGGUAUGCCAAGUCUGAUGUGAGAGGUGUGGGCUCAACCCGCAAACUGCAUUGGAAACUGGUAGACUAGAGUGUCGGAGAGGUAAGUGGAGUUCCUAGUGUAGCGGUGAAAUGCGUAGAUAUUAGGAGGAACACCAGCGGCGAAGGCGGCCUACUGGACGAUAACUGUCGUUGAGGCUCGAAAGCGUGGGGAGCAAAC